rnacentral:miRNA from 1 species
AACGUGACACGUGACGGUCAACAU